rnacentral:rRNA from 1 species
CACUUGGGGAUAACCUUGCGAAAGUAAGACUAAUACCCAAUGACGUCUCUAGAAGACAUCUGAAAGAGAUUAAAGAUUUAUCGGUGAUGGAUGGGGAUGCGUCUGAUUAGCUUGUUGGCGGGGUAACGGCCCACCAAGGCAACGAUCAGUAGGGGUUCUGAGAGGAAGGUCCCCCACAUUGGAACUGAGACACGGUCCAAACUCCUACGGGAGGCAGCAGUGAGGAAUAUUGGUCAAUGGGCGAGAGCCUGAACCAGCCAAGUAGCGUGCAGGAUGACGGCCCUAUGGGUUGUAAACUGCUUUUAUAAGGGAAUAAAGUGAGUCUCGUGAGACUUUUUGCAUGUACCUUAUGAAUAAGGACCGGCUAAUUCCGUGCCAGCAGCCGCGGUAAUACGGAAGGUCCGGGCGUUAUCCGGAUUUAUUGGGUUUAAAGGGAGCGUAGGCCGGAGAUUAAGCGUGUUGUGAAAUGUAGACGCUCAACGUCUGCACUGCAGCGCGAACUGGUUUCCUUGAGUACGCACAAAGUGGGCGGAAUUCGUGGUGUAGCGGUGAAAUGCUUAGAUAUCACGAAGAACUCCGAUUGCGAAGGCAGCUCACUGGAGCGCAACUGACGCUGAAGCUCGAAAGUGCGGGUAUCGAACAGGAUUAGAUACCCUGGUAGUCCGCACGGUAAACGAUGGAUGCCCGCUGUUGGUCUGAAUAGGUCAGCGGCCAAGCGAAAGCAUUAAGCAUCCCACCUGGGGAGUACGCCGGCAACGGUGAAACUCAAAGGAAUUGACGGGGGCCCGCACAAGCGGAGGAACAUGUGGUUUAAUUCGAUGAUACGCGAGGAACCUUACCCGGGCUUGAAUUGCAGAGGAAGGAUUUGGAGACAAUGACGCCCUUCGGGGCCUCUGUGAAGGUGCUGCAUGGUUGUCGUCAGCUCGUGCCGUGAGGUGUCGGCUUAAGUGCCAUAACGAGCGCAACCCCUCUCCUUAGUUGCCAUCAGGUCAAGCUGGGCACUCUGGGGACACUGCCACCGUAAGGUGUGAGGAAGGUGGGGAUGACGUCAAAUCAGCACGGCCCUUACGUCCGGGGCUACACACGUGUUACAAUGGCAGGUACAGAGAGA